rnacentral:tRNA from 1 species
GAGGAUAUAGCUCAGUGGUAGAGAAUAUGCUUAGCAUGCAUGAGGUCCUGGGUUCAAUGCCCAGUACCUCCA